rnacentral:lncRNA from 1 species
GAUAUCCUCCAGUUCCCAUGAAUCAUCCACCCGGUUCUAGUCCAGCUAUGAAUCUUCCACCGGCAGCUAUGAAUCAUCGACCAGGUUCAAAUCCACCUAUGAGUCAUCCACCAGGUUCAAAUCCACCUAUGAGUCGUCCACCAGGUUCCAAUCCACCUAUGAGUCGUCCACCAGGUUCAAAUCCACCUAUGAGUCGUCCACCGGGGUCAAAUCCAGCUAUGAGUCAUCCACCGGGUUCAAAUCCAG